GAACGGAACCACGAAGGUUAUACUGUCUCCUUUCCCUAAUCAGUGAAACUAAUCUCCCCGUGAAGAAGCGGGGAUAAAAAUAUAAGACGAGAAGACCCUAUGGAGCUUUAAACAACGCAGCAACUGCUAUUAUCUAAAGACCCUAGAGUCUAAAUCUACUUAGCACUUUGACAGCAAGUUUUAGGUUGGGGUGACCACGGAGCAUAAUACAACCUCCACGCUGAAAGAAUCUUAUUCUUAGCUAAGGCCUACUACCCUAAGCAUCAAUAUACUGACACCUAUUGACCCA
rnacentral:rRNA from 1 species